rnacentral:rRNA from 1 species
CCUACGGGAGGCAGCAGUGGGGAAUUUUGGACAAUGGGCGCAAGCCUGAUCCAGCAAUGCCGCGUGCAGGAUGAAGGCCUUCGGGUUGUAAACUGCUUUUGUACGGAACGAAAAAGUCUGCCCUAAUACGGUGGGCCCAUGACGGUACCGUAAGAAUAAGCACCGGCUAACUACGUGCCAGCAGCCGCGGUAAUACGUAGGGUGCGAGCGUUAAUCGGAAUUACUGGGCGUAAAGCGUGCGCAGGCGGUUAUAUAAGACAGAUGUGAAAUCCCCGGGCUCAACCUGGGACCUGCAUUUGUGACUGUAUAGCUAGAGUACGGUAGAGGGGGAUGGAAUUCCGCGUGUAGCAGUGAAAUGCGUAGAUAUGCGGAGGAACACCGAUGGCGAAGGCAAUCCCCUGGACCUGUACUGACGCUCAUGCACGAAAGCGUGGGGAGCAAACAGGAUUAGAUACCCUGGUAGUCCACGCCCUAAACGAUGUCAACUGGUUGUUGGGUCUUCACUGACUCAGUAACGAAGCUAACGCGUGAAGUUGACCGCCUGGGGAGUACGGCCGCAAGGUUGAAACUUAAGGAAUUGACGG